AUGAGUGCAGUUCUGAAAUUGUUAUUGUUAUUAUUGUUAAGUGUGUGCCUUGAGUCAUCAUUAUUGUUAAACAUUCUUAAAAGACAUUUAUUUCUCAGAAUCAGAAUAAAAGUUUUCAAUAAAAUAAAUGUUUUCUUACCAGCUAUUCCAUUGAGCACAUUGGGUCCUCCUGAACCUCCCACCAUGACUACAACACCAGAACCUACAACAAAUGGAGAAAGAAGAGAAUGUGGCGGAAAGCUCACGCUUCCCAAUGGACAUAUCUCUGGACCAAAUUAUUUUGGGAGCAAUACCAUGGUAGAGUGUAUCUGGAAAAUUGAAGUGAGUCCCUUGAAUUACAUAGUUCUUCGGAUUUCUUACAUUAGUCUUGACUGCAGCAAAGAAUAUAUUCAGAUUUUUGAUGGAAGCCUGGAUUCCCCUUUUGUGCUUGGAA
rnacentral:lncRNA from 1 species